UACCUCCUCAAGAUCACACCUGGAGAGUUCCCAGUACUCUACCAGUCUUGACUAUAGGAGGGAGAGUCAAGCAGAGGCCUAUCCAUUCCAUUCCUAGCUUGGGUAGUGGCUGGUGAGUGGAAGGCAAUCUGCUACAAGU
rnacentral:snoRNA from 1 species